rnacentral:rRNA from 1 species
GAUGAACGCUGGCGGCGUGCCUAAUACAUGCCAGUCGAGCGAACAGACGAGGAGCUUGCUCCUCUGACGUUAGCGGCGGACGGGUGAGUAACACGUGGAUAACCUACCUAUAAGACUGGGAUAACUUCGGGAAACCGGAGCUAAUACCGGAUAAUAUAUUGAACCGCAUGGUUCAAUAGUGAAAGACGGUUUUGCUGUCACUUAUAGAUGGAUCCGCGCCGCAUUAGCUAGUUGGUAAGGUAACGGCUUACCAAGGCGACGAUGCGUAGCCGACCUGAGAGGGUGAUCGGCCACACUGGAACUGAGACACGGUCCAGACUCCUACGGGAGGCAGCAGUAGGGAAUCUUCCGCAAUGGGCGAAAGCCUGACGGAGCAACGCCGCGUGAGUGAUGAAGGUCUUCGGAUCGUAAAACUCUGUUAUUAGGGAAGAACAAAUGUGUAAGUAACUAUGCACGUCUGGACGGUACCUAAUCAGAAAGCCACGGCUAACUACUU